rnacentral:tRNA from 1 species
CAGUGUGUGGCGUAAUGGUAACGCAGUGGACUGUGAAUCCACGAACGAGGGUUCACAGUCCCUCCAUGCUGA